GUGGAUUAGAUACCCUGGUAGUCCACGCUGUAAACGAUGUGCGCUAGACGUUGGAGGGCGUAGCCUUCCGGUGUCGCAGCUAACGCUUUAAGCGCACCGCCUGGGGAGUACGGCCGCAAGGUUAAAACUCAAAGGAAUUGACGGGGGCCCGCACAAGCGGUGGAGCAUGUGGUUCAAUUCGACGCAACGCGAAGAACCUUACCAGCUCUUGACAUGUCAGGACGGUACUCAGAGAUGGGUAUUUUCCCGCAAGGGACCUGAACACAGGUGCUGCAUGUCCGUCGCCAACU
rnacentral:rRNA from 1 species